GCAGACUCACUCUGUUUGGGGUCGCCUCCUCCGGCUCGGAACUUUUUCAGUCUGCUACAGUGACAUUGCAGAAAUGCUCCACACUGUCUCCGCCCCCUGUGGGAGGAGCUACAGAGCGCUCUGCUACACCUGU